UACAGGGGGGGCAAGCGUUGUUCGGAAUUACUGGGCGUAAAGGGCGCGUAGGCGGCCGAUCAAGUCAGAUGUGAAAGUCCUGGGCUUAACCUGGGGACUGCAUUUGAUACUGAUUGGCUUGAAUGCAGGAGAGGAUAGCGGAAUUCCCAGUGUAGAGGUGAAAUUCGUAGAUAUUGGGAAGAACACCGGUGGCGAAGGCGGCUAUCUGGACUGUGAUUGACGCUGAGGCGCGAAAGCGUGGGGAGCAAACAGG
rnacentral:rRNA from 1 species